GGUAAAUAUGUGUUGUGACAUUAACUUGCCUGGCAUGUGUUGAAAGGCACCACCUUUAGAGCCGCCCUCUAGAUUCGAUGUCAAAUUAAAGCAAAGGUACAUUUUCCAAAUGAUGCAAUUCAGCCUUUUUAUAACGCCGCGGUCCAAGAGGCAGGGGUCAAGGGCAAAGCCACACUUUUUACGGGCAUCAUAGCAGUAAAGCUGAUUAUCGUUUCUUCGCUGGUCAGCAUGAAAGUGCCGGACCUUCUUGCAGCGGAGCGGCCCAUGCAGGACUACACGCACCGGUGACAAAAUGAUUGGUAACCUACGUACAGCAAUUCAGUUAAUUUUUUAACUGACAUAAGGGUCUCUUAUAUCACCUCACAUAAGUCGUUUAAAGUCAGAGAUCAGAGUAAAUCGAGAGAAAUUUUGCAUCAUCGCUAUGGAAACAGAGCCAGAGCCAGAGCCCAGCCGUGGCAGGGCAGCCUCUGUGGACGAGGAACUUGAUUACGACAUGAAAACAGAACAGACGCAUGCCGCUCCCGCUGUAGGAGAGAGGUCAGAGUCGCCGUCUCCUGCGAGGCUUGCCUGUCUCUUCAGCCCGGACUGCAUGGACGAUGAGGUCUUUCUCGUUCCCACACCAUGCCCUGACUCCAAGACAUCAGAACGUAGUGUGGCAGAACUUUCCAAAUCAGGUAUAAAUGGAGCAUGUGCAUCCAGUGAAGCUAAGAACUUGAUAGACAAACAGCCUGUUAGGUCUGAACCAGAGACCGUGGAUGAUAUGAAUUCCACAUGGCAAGCCACCAAUUCCUCUGCGGCACACGAGGCAUCAAAAACAUCAGAAUAUGUAGAAGGUGAUGAAAAAAAUCCUGCAGAGAAGAAAGAGGUGGGACCCAUCGAAACCACAAGUGCCGCUGAAGAGAGUACGGGCGCUGUCAUACAGGACAGUCAGCAGGGAGAGCUGCUGCUCCAUCGCCUUCAGCUGGUCCAGCAGAGACAGGGCGAGGUGUUUGAGCCUCGGGUAGCCAAGGAAGACACAGAAGAUGGCGAGAAGGCAGACACAACGAAUGGGUAUGACAGCCCUGCUUGCCCUUCAAGCAGACAAACAUCAGGAGCAGUAGAGGGAUCGCUGCUUCCUCCAGCUCACAGCUCGAGUGAUGAUGAUCAGAGUGACAGCGGGGUAUCUGCUGACUUCUCUCCUUGCAGUGCCCAGGAGCUUCAAGCUGCCACCGUGGCAGCUGCCGCUAAACACCAACAUCUCCCUCUGGACUUGGAGCUCAAAGCCAAGGGUCAGAAGGAUCUUACCCAACAGCGCCCGCGGGGCUGCAGAGACGGUCAGACUGUGGCAGAGGUCUACAGAACCAGGUGUCUACAAAAGACGGACAAAAGUCAAGAAGCCUUGAAUAGACAAGGCAGGGCCUGUGGUGACUACAGCAGAGGUUCUGUGCAACAAUUUCGUGAGAGAAAGCAGAUGUUCGAGGCCUUCCAGCAGGGCAGGCCAGUUAAGGUAAAGCCUCAGGUCACCCAAAUGGGCUUCCUGUCCUACUCAAAGUCCACCACGUCAUUAGCCAGCGCUUCCUUGUGUCUGACCUUCCCCUGCAUCUCAGUGUUGGAGCGAACACGAAGCUUGGAUCUGCACAGGCAGGCACCCGAGACGCAGGCUGCCUGGUUUAAUAGCAACAGGACAGGUCCUUCUGACCAACUGGACUCUCAGACCAUGGCUGACGGGACGGAGAGGAAAAGGAUAGUCCUCGAUGGUGAUGUCACCCUUGUAGUCGCGCAGGUCUAUCGCAAGAGGUCCUUACGUCCCUCCCUCAGCACAGGGUGUCUUUUCACAAGACUGACUAAUGAGGAGGAGGAACCAAAGAGGAGAGGGGACGAGGAAGAUGAGAAUGACGAGGAGGAAGAAGGUUCCGCUCUGUACAGAGGGAACCCCUUCUGUAAACUCCGCCCUUCAUUGGCUCUCAGGCCAGAUGUGGCCCGUGAAAUCCGAGAGGCACGGGAGCGGGAAAGAGAACUUAGACAACUGCGAAUGGGUCUUUACGGAGACGACAGGGCUUGGAAGCACAGCUGCGGCUCAACAAAUACGCCAAACACCCAAACUGAAGCAGUUCCUUCAAAAACAGAUCAACAGUCUCGAGGAAAACUGGAGCUUAUCUGGCCCCCUCCUUCCAGUGAGAAUGUGAAGCAGCCAAGUGAAACACAGGAACUCAGACCUCCAAAGCUAGCAAGUCAAAGAUCUGCCCUCUGGCAACGCUGGGAAACGGGAAUGGUGAAUGGCUGUGGGGAAGAAGAAGACUGAAGCAGGGUGCCUAUGCAGUCUAAACUCACACAUCUACAGACCAGUGGAGCUGACCUGAUCACCCAACUGCCAGCAAGAAUACUGAGACACACUUAUGAAGCAUUGCAUACACACACACCCAAUCUGGUUCUUGUUGUCCAAGGCUAUUUAAAGUACAGGACUAUAAUUAACACAGUUUAUCCUGUGAAAAAUGGCUGUUAUAUUGAGCUUGUUAAAUUUUCAUCCUUGUAAACCUGAGCGUACAUAAUAUUGAGUUUUACAAGGGGUUUACUAAAGGCGUUGCAUUGCAUUCCUAGCGUGCACUUUAAUCUUCUAACAUGCACAGAAUGCUUUGCCUAAUUUGGUAAAAGGUUUUUGCCCAUUAGAAGGUCAAUAAUACCAAUGAAUUCACAUAACCGUAAAUGAAUCUGAUGAAUAUGAGCUUCAGAAACUGUUACAAACAGUGCUUUAGAACAGUCUGUUCGAAAGAUCUGAUAAACACAUUGUACAGUACUGUUUUGGAUCUGAGUGGGGGAAAAACUUGGAAAUGAAGACAUGUUUCUUUAGGAAAUAAACAGUUAGUGGUUGUUAGCCA
ensembl:lncRNA uncharacterized LOC114793333